rnacentral:rRNA from 1 species
AGAGUUUGAUCCUGGCUCAGAACGAACGCUGGCGGCGUGGAUAACACAUGCAAGUCGAACGGAAAAAUUGCUAGCUUGCUAAUAAUUCUCUAGUGGCGCACGAGGUGAGUAACACGUGAGUAACCUGCCUCUUAGAGGGGGAUAGCCCUGGGAAACCGGGAUUAAUACCGCAUACAAUUGAAAGAUCAAAGCAGCAAUGCACUAGGAGAUGGGCUCGCGGCCUAUUGAGUUAGUUGGUGAGGUAACGGCUCACCAAGGCGAUGACGGGUAGCCGGACUGAGAGGAUGUCCGGCCACACUGGAACUGAGACACGGUCCAAACGCCUACGGGUGGCAGCACUCAAGAAUCAUUCACAAUGGGGGCAACCCUGAUGGUGCGACACCGCGUGGGGGAAUGAAGGUCUUCGGAUUGUAAACCCCUGUCAUGUGGGAGCAAAUUAAAAAGAUAGUACCACAAGACGAAGAGACGGCUAACUCUGUGCCAGCAGCCGCAGUAAUACAGAGGUCUCAAGCGUUGUUCGGAAUCACUGGGCGUAAAGCGUGCGUAUGCUGAUUCGUAAGUCGUGUGUGGAAAGGCAGGGGCUCAUCCCCCUGGAUUGCACAUGAUACUGCGAGACUAGAGUAAUGGAGGGGGAGCCGGAAUUUUUGGUGUAGCAGUGAAAUGAGUAGAUAUCGAGAGGAACACUCGUGGCGAAGGAGGGUUCCUGGACAUCAAGUGACGCUCAGGCAUGAAGGCCAGGGGAGCGAUAGGGCUUAGAUACCCCCGUAGUCAGUGCACUAAACAGUGCACGCAUGGUGUGCGGGGAAUAGACCCCGUGCGUGCCGGAGCUAACGCGUUAAGCGUUCCGCCUGGGGAGUACGCUCGCAAGAUUAAAACUCAAAGAAAUUGACGGGGACCCGCACAAGCGGUGGAGCAUGUGGCUUAAUUCGAUGCAACGCGAAGAACCUUACCUGGGCUUGACAUGUAACGAACAACAUGUGAAAGCAUGCGACUCUUCGGAGGCGUUACACAGGUGCUGCAUGGCCGUCGUCAGCUCGUGUCGUGAGAUGUUUGGUUAAGUCCAGCAACGAGCGCAACCCCUGUUGCCAGUUACCAUCGAGUAAUGUCGGGGACUCUGUCGAGACUGCCCAGAUCAACUGGGAGGAAGGUGGGGACGACGUCAGGUCAGCAUGGCCCUUAUGCCCAGGGCUGCACACGUACUACAAUGCCCAGUACAGAGGGGGCCGAACCCGCGAGGCGGAGGCAAUCCCGAAAACUGGUCCCAGUUCGGACUGUAGUCUGCAACCCGCCUACACGAAGCCGGAAUCGCUAGUAAUGGCCCAUCAGCCACGGCGCCGUGAAUACGUUCCCGGGUCUUGCACUCACCGCCCGUCA